AGUGAGGAAUAUUGGUCAAUGGAGGAAACUCUGAACCAGUUACGCCGCGUGCAGGAUGAAGGCCAGAAAGGUUGUAAACUGCUUUUGUAUAUGAAUAAAAAAUUCUAUUGUUAGAAAUAAUUGAAGGUAAUAUACGAAUAAGUAUCGGCAAACUCCGUGCCAGCAGCCGCGGUAAUACGGAGGAUACAAGCGUUAUCCGGAAUUAUUGGGUUUAAAGGGUGCGUAGGUUGUUUUUUAAGUCAGUAGUGAAAUCUAACAGCUUAACUGUAAAACUGCUAUUGAUACUGUAAAACUAGAGUUAGAUAGGAGUAAUUGGAAUGUGUGGUGUAGCGGUGAAAUGCAUAGAUAUCACACAGAACACCGAUAGCGAAAGCAGAUUACUAUAUCUAAACUGACACUGAGGCACGAAGGCGUGGGUAGCAAA
rnacentral:rRNA from 1 species